GGCGGAUGUAGCCAAGUGGAUCAAGGCAGUGGAUUGUGAAUCCACCAUGCGCGGGUUCA
rnacentral:tRNA from 2 species